rnacentral:lncRNA from 1 species
CAACCUCUAAAAAAUGCUAGUAUACCUUCAAGUAGAGGGGUAAUCCACACUCUACUAAGAAAGAACUAGCUCUGAUAUCUCAAGUUAGUGUAGUCUUGACAAACUGUCACGGACACAAAAUACAGACUUGAAAUCUAACAAGAAGUUCAAGAAGAAGUGGCAGAACUAGAUUAAACAGAUGAGUACAAGAACAACACCAGAAAGGUGAGCUAGAACUCCAAGAGAUGUG